CAGGUUCCUCGCCUGUGCAGGGAAUGACAUCAGCUUCCGUGUAUCUGGCAUGAUGGUCAAGGACACAGGAUCCUAUUGUGCAGGCAGCAACACAGUUGAGGCAGCCGGCAGGUCAGCAGUGGGGCCAUUAAGCUGAGAAAACACCAAGUUACAGCUCUGUCUCCUGUUCACGGCCAGGUGUCCUGACAAGCAAUUCCAGCCUUGUUGGUGUUCAGAACAGGCUGCUGCCACCAGUUCCACUCCUGCACUGCCCCAGCCUGCUCCAACCUCCUUCCCAG